rnacentral:tRNA from 1 species
AGGGGCAUAGCUCCAAUUGGUAGAGCAUCGGAUUCCAAAUCCGAGUGUUGGGGGUUCGAGUCCCUCUGCCCCUGCCA